UGGGGAAUAUUGGACAAUGGGGGAAACCCUGAUCCAGCCAUGCCGCGUGAGUGAUGAAGGCCUUAGGGUUGUAAAGCUCUUUUACCAGGGAUGAUAAUGACAGUACCUGGAGAAUAAGCUCCGGCUAACUCCGUGCCAGCAGCCGCGGUAAUACGGAGGGAGCUAGCGUUGUUCGGAAUCACUGGGCGUAAAGCGCGCGUAGGCGGCCAUUCAAGUCAGAGGUGAAAGCCCGGGGCUCAACCCCGGAGUUGCCCUUGAGACUGGAUGGCUAGAAUCUUGGAGAGGUGAGUGGAAUUCCGAGUGUAGAGGUGAAAUUCGUAGAUAUUCGGAAGAACACCAGUGGCGAAGGCGACUCACUGGACAAGUAUUGACGCUGAGGUGCGAAAGCGUGGGGAGCAAACAGGAUUAGAUACCCCUGUAGUCC
rnacentral:rRNA from 1 species